UACAGAGGUCUCAAGCGUUACUCGGUUUUACUGGGUGCACAGGGUACGUAGGCUGGUCACGGGGCAUCGCAGAUGAAAGGGCGGGGGUCAUUCCAUGCAACACUUCUGCGUGCAAGAACAAGUGACUCGAUGUUAGUGAAGGGUUGGAGCAAGUGGGUAGGUAAGGGUAAAAUUUUGACAUCUACAGUCGAACACCAACACGCGAAGGCAUUCUUCUAGCAUUAACAGACGCUAACUAUACGAAAGCGUGGGUCGCAAAUGGG
rnacentral:rRNA from 1 species